ACGGUUCUUUGGGACUGAGCAGCUAAAGCUGAGCUGGGCUGAGCUGCUGAUUCCUCUAAGUAGCUCAAAGGCGUGUGGCAAGCAGAGUUUCAAGAGUGGCACAGAUGUGAAAGGACUUACAAAGACACAUGCCUGGGAUUAUCACUGGGACCAGUGAGGUGCAUCAGACCGGAGUGAACAGGAAGCCAGACGCCACAAUCCCACUCACGACGGGGUCAGAGGGUCUGAGACCCAGGCUGUUGGUCCCUGCGGCCUCGAGGGCAGAGUCUUGCUCACCUGAAACACAUCUCCAUUGAUCGUGGUCCCCAUGUCCUCAGAACCAGCUGGAGAGAGAACAAGGAGACAGCAUCACUCAUUGCUCAGCCUACAGCAGGCCCUACAGCAGCGCCUGAGCCAACCCCUAUACACAGGGUCAUGUGUCAACUGCCCACCCAGACGCGACGGGCACUGGGACUCAGCCCUUUGUUCACCAUGCCUUCUCCCAGCCUUUAACACAUGUGAUUUUUCACCACAACCUGUGACUGUGAUGAAGUUGUUACCAACCCAUUGUAGAGAUUCCCAAACCGAGGCCCCAAGAGGCGAUGUGUUUGCCCAUGGCCAUUCAGUCCCUGAGCGCUCCUCUCCUCCCUGAAGUGGAUUUACCCUCUGCUGAGCUGGGAAUGGCCCAACUGUGGUGGAGCCUGAGCCCGCCAGGGCGGGGAGCAGGGAGCCAGCAGAGGUGCUGCAGGCUCAGGGCAGGGGCUGCAAAAGCCAAGGAAGAGGGCCCUGCCAGUCCCCGCCCGUCCCUGCUGCGCCUGGAGCGACAGCCCCACCUGCGAGAACAGGAACUGCAGCCCCACCAGGAAGCACCUGCCCUGUUUUUCCUCCUCCCGCCUCUCUCAGGACUUCGUCUGGCCCUGACUGUGGCUCCUCCUGGCCCCUUUCCCUGACAUCUGAUUAGUCACAAAUUCUGUGGCUUCUGCGGCAACAGUGACCCUCAAAGUUGCUCUCUGCUCCCUGCGCCCUGCCUGGCCCCAGCCUCAGUCACCCUGUGGGUAGCAAACACCUGGAGGGGCCCACGUGCAACCUUUCU